rnacentral:lncRNA from 1 species
CGCUCUCUCUUUCUUCACUGGCCUCUCAGUUUUCUCCGUCAUCGACAAUUCGAGAUUGCCAAGGAGACCGCCAAGGACUGGGUUAAGCUCACCGUCCAAAACCGUCAGGCCAAGGUCUCGGUGGUCCCCUCUACCGCCUCUUUGGGAUCUGCGUUUUGCUUGGAGCCGGAUCGCGACCGCAAAAUGUCAACUGCUUCAGAUUCGUUUUCUCUACCUUCUUCCUUCACACAUCUCUCAGCCGGAGCUUCCUCCUUUCCCUCCAGG